GCCGGCCGCGCCGCGCUGAGGCGCCCUGCGGGCUGCGGCCUCCGCGCUUCCCUCCUUCUGUCUUUUCUGCCCUUUUGGUUUAAUUUCUUAGGCUUCGAGAGAAAACGCAGGCGCGCCGCGGAGGGAAGGCCUGAGACCAGGGAGCAAUCCCUGCGGCUGAUGGCAACCACAGAAAACUCUUCCUGCAGAAGCUACCUGCUGAUUCAGGAAAGAAGAGAUUCCAUAAUUCUUUGUGAUUAAUUUCACUUUAAAAAUGAACAAAAGAGAGUAGAACAACAGUGGCUCACUGCUAGAGUUGUCUGGAGAAAAAUCGCAAAAAGCAUGGAUUGUGUCAAUUCUUGCUGGUGCAGCUGCAUACACUAAUGAAUUGGCUUGCUGUUUGCAUACAGUUAACACCAAACACCACCAGGUGUCCUCUGUUACUGUUUCAAGUCUGGAUUACCUCCUGGAGAAUCUUGCCGGCAGGCUGGAGCAGCAAGGGACCAAGGAGGAAGGAAUCUGCAGGUUCUUUCCUGCAGACAUCAAGCAGAAAAUAAAGGGCGCAGCCCAGAAGAGCCGCUCCGCUUGCAGUGAGCGGGGAGCUGCCAUCAUGUGCCAGCAGAAGGGCUGCCGCCGCAGCUUCCACCUCCCAUGCGACUCCGAGCACGGCUGCCUCACAGUUUUUCAAGGAGUACAGCUCCUUCUGCUCGGACCGUCACCCCGAGCAGGCAGCACAGCUGUCUCCAGAAGCAGAAACCACCUGCAUGAUCUGCAUGGAGCAGGUGGAGGAAAACCUCUCCUUUGGCACCACGGUGUGCCCU
rnacentral:lncRNA from 1 species